AACUCAAGCACCUUCGGCGGCCGAAUCUCUACUUUUGGCUGCCGAACCCUUUCGGGGGCAAGGUUCGGGGGCUGAAACACACUCCAGAGACGAAAGUCUCUAACCUUCGGCGGCACCUUCGGCGGCCGAAUCCCCCUUCCAGAGCCAAAACUCAAAACUCUCGGGGGUGAGCUUUGGCAACCGAAGCCACCUCUUCAAGGGGUUCAGCGGCCGAAUGUACCUUCGACUGCCGAACCUGAGUUCAUCCAGAACUCAUCCUCGCCAGCAACCAAGCUCCUCAAGCCAGUCCAACUCUCAAAACAUGCAUAGCACAACUCCUCAACACACAUAUACUCAUGUAUAUGUACAAAAGGGGUCCAAAACUACCUAAAACCCCAACAAAACAACAUAGCAUAACACAUAAACAUGCUUUCAAUACCAAAACACCAAAAUCAUGCUUUUUACCCUAAACAUGCAACUCUACCCAUAACCUCCAUAAACCCUCUAUAAAUCAGCAAGAGAAGUUCAGAAUCUUCACUUACCUCUGGACAAUAAGAAGCUGAACGAUCUGAACUCAGAAAUCUAGAGCAACUCCCCUUCAAAAUUGCCAAACCACCAAACCUUAGCUUUUGAACUCAAAACCUUCAAAACCACAUAAAAACACUCAAACCUUUGCAUGAUUUGAUAAAACCAUGAAAAUGACUCAUGGAGAACGUGGCCUCACCUCUGUUUAUGACCUGGAGGCAACACUUAUCCAUUUCACCGACUGAGGGAUGCUUUAAAGGGGCUGACCGACUCACCUUCGGCAGCCAAAUCUGCAUGCAAAACCAUGCAACGUUCAGCGGCCGAACUUGAGCCCUCGGAAGCCGAACCUAAAGCACUUUCGGCGGCCGAACCUGGCAAUUGUCCCCAUAGUAUUUUCUCUUCAAAACUCGAUCCUAUCUCAUUCAAAAUCUUUAAAAUACUUAAAAACAUUUUAGAAAAACUUUCUCUUACCUUCCUCGAAUUCCACCGGAUGGUAAGAAUUCUGAUGCCUAAUCUAGCCGGGUAUUACAUUCUUUCCCCCUUUAAAAAACAUUCGUCCUCGAAUGUUAAAAACAAACAAAUAAGCAAUCAAGACCUCAACCUACUCCUGAACUCCACAGCUUCCGCUGCGCACUCUGAUCCUUAUCCUUUUUCUCUUCAUCUUUUCUCCACUGAUCUCUCUUCCCCUAACUCGUAACAGGUGCUACUCAAAUCUUUGAUCUAUCUAGGAAAACCACAAUCAGCUCUUACUAUAUGUUCUACUAGAUCAAUCCUAACUAGGAAUACCUGGUAACCGCUUAAAGUGACUACAACAUCUUAAGAAGUCAUCCUUCGGUUCCCACAACAACUCUGGAAUAUUCCAGAGUGAGGUACUAGGUCGGAUAAAACCCUUAUCUACCAAACCUUUUUACUACUCUUAACUCUCUCUCUCUCUCUCUCUCUCUCUGUAGGUGCCAUCCCGUAGGGAAAGGAAAGAAAUGGUUCCGCGUUCAGAUACCACUCCUAGUCCAAAUUCUGACUCCCUGACAGAUGGUAAACCUGACAGCUUGCCUGGGAAACAUCUAGUACUCACUAGCAACGGGCACUGAGGCUGAUUCCCUGAUCUGACUACUAAACUCGCUCACAAGAGCUAGAACCCUCUGACAACCUUUCCCUGAGUAAACGAUGAGCCUAACGGGUUGACAUUAACUUCUAGGCACCCCUAUACUGUCCCCCUAAAGGAUUCCCUCUGAUCCAUCCUGCACUCUGAACUCUCCUACCUUGUCUCUGCAGACAUAGGUAGUACUGUGAGUAGCUAGCCAAUCCGCUCUAGAUUGACAUCACCAGUCAAUUCUAGAACCAUAAGGUCAGCUGGAUUGCAUCUACUCACCACAACUCUGAACUAAACUGACAGACUGACUCUGCCUCAGAUGGAUCACACUUAGGUCCACUGACCCAAGGAAAACACUCUCCGCCCGGACGUCAUCAAACCCACUCUAUCAACGGCUCACAAAUGCCAAGGAAAGCGAAACACUAGGGUCCAAAACAAAUAGCAUACACAUCCGAACACUUCCAAGUGAACGUAUCUGACGUCACUGUGUUUGACGUGUUAGCCUCCUAUUGACUCAGGGUGAAGAUCCGAGCUAAAGCUAACGGAACUUCCCUUGGGAAUCUACUGGAGAAAAGCUAACCCUUUCCUCUGCCUCAACUACCACCUACUCCCAGACUGGCUCUAACCUCUUUCUAAACUUACUCUUACUUCUUCUCUUCCUCUUACUCUAAGCUAUCUCACUUACUCUUCUUAUUCUAUUUUACUUUCUCUAUAUACUAUGAGAUGAGAAAAUCAAUCUCACUAUACCUGGAAUGAUAAAAAUCAAGGCCACAAUAUCUCAUAGCAAGUUUCUCUCUAGCUCUUCUUUGGUUCACUACUCUCUAGCUACUAACUCUUCUCUGAAUUUCUAUCUCUUACUUGCUACUCUGCACAUCUAACUCUGAUAUUCUCUACUAGUCUCAUAUCAACAGACAUCCUACUAGGAUCCACAAAACAUACACAUCAGAACACUAAAAAACAUGAGCAUACCUGGCACCUCUGUGUCAGAUGUGUCUGCCUCUCUUUCUUGUCUACUGACCUGAGCCGCUCUGCCUACAAAAGUCUGCUGGGACUGAGCCAUCCAAGGCGCAGUAGGACACUCACGAACCAUGUGCCCCUCCUGACCACACCUGAAACAUGCUGUUGUCCCUGCAAGACAGACUCCCUUAUGCAGCCUUCCACACCUCAAACAUUUUGAUCUGCCUAUACCAGAACUCGAACCAGCACUACAAUCCAGACUAGGUUUUACCCUAUUCCAGAACUCCCUUUUCCUUGCCCCUUUCAGGCCUCUAACGUUUUUCUUACUGGUUCUCCCCCACUUCACUCCUUUCGAGGUAGCUAUACUCCAACUGGAAGGAUCAUUCUCUCCUGAACCAGAAAUCCUGGACUCCUUGGUCUGAGCAUCUUCUAAAGACGCUUCGUCCUUAUUCACCUGCAGACCUACUUCCCUUUUCUGCACAUCGACUUCUACCUCUCUCCUCUUUCCUGACAUUCUCCUUAGAUCCCCUCCUUCUCUGCUUUUCUCAAAAGAUUCUUCAGACGGAUCUGAUUCCACAGAUUGACUAACACUACUCAUCUUAGCUCUUCUCUCUCUGAAGAACAACACACAACAAACAAACAUUAGCAGGCAGAGAGUUCAUGUGAAAAACACAUGCACUUACACCACACAUAUAAAGUCAUGGCAUUCACAUCAGCAUGCAAAACAAAACUCAACAUCCUAGUGGACAUGAUUUUACUUUUUGUGCUUGCCUUUCUAUACCCCCUACCCUAACCUCUUUCCGAUGUGGGAUCUCUCUUCUCCGUGAACAAACAUGCUCACACACCGUACUUUUGAGGCCCUAUGCUCUGAUACCAUCUGUAACAGCCCAGAAACCGGUACCUCUCUGUAACGGCCCAAACUGCUCGGCGCUAGGAUCUAGAUCGGCUUAAGGCCGCCAGAACCCGUAGCAAGCCUAACCUAAACUCCAAACAGCCCAUACAUGAUCCGACUCGACUACUAGCUUUUCAAUCUUUUUCUGUAAAACUACCAGACUUAACCUUAAAAACAAUCAGAUAUACCAAUCUGAAUAGCCCCCAGGGCUUACACCAGUAACUCUGUCCGUAGAGUCACGGGAAUCAAACCCGGUCUUCCCUUACGGUCUGAUCUUGGGUCAAGGGAAUCAAACCCUGCCUUCCCUCAUAGCCUGGUCUUGGGUCAAGGGAAUCAAACCCUUUCUUCCCUCACAGUUAUAUUUUACUGGAGUUUUCGAAACACAACAUCUAUUAAGCCUGGUUUGACUCAUUUCUCAUCAAGAAACAUAAAACAGGAUACAUGCAUACACAAGGGCUUAAGCAUACACUAGGCAAAGCACAUACUAAACUAUAGACACACUGUCUUUACAUAUAUCUCUUUAAUUUACAUCAUGUCCACACUAUUCUAUUACACAAGCAAUCCUUUAGUCAACACUCUACUGCUUCUGACUUCCCAGCUAACUCUGAACCUGCAAAACUGGGAUUAAGGGAAAGGGAUGAGCUUCUAAAGCCCAGUGAGUAGAAACACUGAAAACAGUUCAUUAAUUACACACUUUCAUGAAAUGCGUCACAACACAAACAUUUCACAUCUCGGAUUAGACAUGACCUCAAAACUCCCUCUGUCGGCACCCGAUUCCCGAAGGAACUCACACAGGAUUUUCACUACCAUGACAGAUCGUGGGCUAUUGAUGUCGCCUUGGUCCAAUCCCCACUAUCAGUAAAUAAUGCAAUGCACCAUAUUCGUGAUUCUAAUGGAAUCACCCUAGUACAUAACAUGGCAUCCAUGAUGCAUGAACUAUGCUAAAGCAUUCCAUUUUCUCAGUAUAAAAGAUUACGUUUAGUUCUACUCACCUCUGCUCCUCUAGCAGAAAACUGAACUGACUCUGCAACACCUAACACUGGUGACCUCCUCGAUCUCUCGGGUCCAAUCCUACACAAAUGGACUCGAAUGAGGUGUCAAACAUACCCUAAACAACUCAUAAACAACUCUUAAACAACUUCCCAAAACCCCUCAAAGAGCUCUUAGAACCAUCACAUAAAGCAUGCAAAAGAAGGCUGGACAGAACACUUUCGGCGGGAGGUUCGGCGGCCGAAUGUCCUCUCCAGAGCCGAAACUCAAGCACCUUCGGCGGCCGAAUCUCUACUUCCGGUUGCCGAACCCUUUCGGGGGCAAGGUUCGGGGGCUGAAACACACUCCAGAGACGAAAGUCUCUAACCUUCGGCGGCCGAAUCCCCCUUCCAGAGCCAAAACUCAAAACUCUCGGGGGUGAGCUUUGGCAACCGAAACCACCUCUUCAAGGGGUUCGGCGGCCGAAUGUACCUUCGGCUGCCGAAUCUGAGUUCAU
rnacentral:lncRNA from 1 species